GCCCUAGUAGCUCAGUGGUAGAGCGCUCGACUGUUAAUCGAUUGGUCGUAGGUUCAAAUCCUACCUGGGGCG
rnacentral:tRNA from 1 species